rnacentral:antisense_RNA from 1 species
GAGCAUGCUCAGUGGGAGGUUUUAAAAUAUUUUCUUUAGGUCAGCUUUAUUUUGCUCAUUUCUUUGGAAAUAGUUCAACAAAAGCCAUCUAAUUAGUCCUUAAUAACAUUGUUCACUAAUGCCCUAGCCAAGGCCCAAGUGUCUGUCAUCUGCCAAGGUGAUGUUUUCACCGUGUUUGCCAAGGGACCACUACUGGGCAAUGCGGGCCUCCCUAUUCCCUGCAGCAUAGCAAUAUGAAAAUUAGGCCAAUGAAAAAACCUACAAUGACUUCUAAGUGUUCAAGUCAAAGAAAGAAGUGCAUGCUUCUUUUCCUUUAAAUCAAAAACAGAACAUGAUUGAGCUUAGUGAGGAAGGCAUAUUGAAAGCCAAGAUGGGUCAAAAGCUAGGUUGCUUGUGCCAAAGAAUUAGCCAAGUUGUGAAUGCAAAGGAGAAAAGUUCUUGAAGGAAAUUGAAAGUGCUACUCCAGUGAACACAUGAAUGAUAAGAAAACAAAACAGCCUUCUUGAGGAUAUGAAGAAAAUUUGAGUGGGCUUGAUAGAAGAUCAAAGCAGCCACAACAUUCCCUUAAGUCAAAGCAUAAUCCAUAGCAGGACCCUAACUCUCUUCAAUUGCACG